rnacentral:rRNA from 1 species
UACGAAGGGGGGCUAGCGUUGCUCGGAAUCACUGGGCGUAAAGCGCACGUAGGCGGAUUGCUAAGUCAGGGGUGAAAUCCUGGAGCUCAACUCCAGAACUGCCUUUGAUACUGAAGAUCUUGAGUUCGGGAGAGGUGAGUGGAACUGCGAGUGUAGAGGUGAAAUUCGUAGAUAUUCGCAAGAACACCAGUGGCGAAGGCGGCUCACUGGCCCGAUACUGACGGCUGAGGCACGAAAGCGUGGGGAGCAAACAGGG